rnacentral:rRNA from 1 species
UACGAAGGGGGCUAGCGUUGUUCGGAAUUACUGGGCGUAAAGCGUUUGUAGGCGGUUAAGUAAGUCAGUGGUGAAAGCCCAGGGCUCAACCCUGGAAUUGCCAUUGAAACUACUUAGCUAGAGAAUGUUAGAGGAAAGUGGAAUUCCUAGUGUAGGAGUGAAAUCCGUAGAGAUUAGGAGGAAUAUCGAUGGCGAAGGCAGCUUUCUGGGACAUUUCUGACGCUGAGAAACGAAAGCGUGGGUAGCAAACAGG